AUGUAAGACGAUCCGUCUUUAAGUGGGGAUAGAUUACUCUAAAAGAAAUGAGUCCUACAUUGUUUUCCUUUCAAGUCAAGCAUCUUGU
rnacentral:pre_miRNA from 1 species